rnacentral:lncRNA from 1 species
UGCAUAUUUCAUAUAAAUGGAAUCAAAUAAUAUGUGGUUCUUCCUGACUGGCUUCUGGCUUCUUUCACUUAGCAUAAUGUUUUGGGUUUUUUGUUUGUUUGUUUGUUUUUUAGUAUAUUUUCAAAGUUUAUCAUGCUCUAGCAUGUAUUAAUACUUCAUUCCUUUAUAUUGCCUAUUACUAUGCCUUUACAUGCCCUUUGUCCCCUCCCUCCAUCCCU